rnacentral:rRNA from 2 species
UGGAUCUAGACUUUGAUCCUGGCUCAGGACGAACGCUGGCGGCGUGCUUAACACAUGCAAGUCGAACGGAGAACUUAUUUCGGUAAGUUCUUAGUGGCGAACGGGUGAGUAACGCGUGGGCAACCUGCCCUCCAGUUGGGGACAACAUUCCGAAAGGGAUGCUAAUACCGAAUAUGCUCCCUCCUCCGCAUGGAGGAGGGAGGAAAGAUGGCCUCUGCUUGCAAGCUAUCGCUGGAAGAUGGGCCCGCGUCUGAUUAGCUAGUUGGUGGGGUAACGGCUCACCAAGGCGAUGAUCAGUAGCCGGUCUGAGAGGAUGAACGGCCACAUUGGGACUGAGACACGGCCCAAACUCCUACGGGAGGCAGCAGUGGGGAAUCUUCCGCAAUGGACGAAAGUCUGACGGAGCAACGCCGCGUGAGUGAUGAAGGUCUUCGGAUUGUAAAACUCUGUUGUUAGGGACGAAAGCACCGUGUUCGAACAGGUCAUGGUGUUGACGGUACCUAACGAGGAAGCCACGGCUAACUACGUGCCAGCAGCCGCGGUAAUACGUAGGUGGCAAGCGUUGUCCGGAAUUAUUGGGCGUAAAGAGCAUGUAGGCGGGCUUUUAAGUCUGACGUGAAAAUGCGGGGCUUAACCCCGUAUGGCGUUGGAUACUGGAAGUCUUGAGUGCAGGAGGGGAAAGGGGAAUUCCCAGUGUAGCGGUGAAAUGCGUAGAUAUUGGGAGGAACACCAGUGGCGAAGGCGCCUUUCUGGACUGUGUCUGACGCUGAGAUGCGAAAGCCAGGGUAGCAAACGGGAUUAGAUACCCCGGUAGUCCUGGCCGUAAACGAUGGAUACUAGGUGUAGGAGGUAUCGACCCCUUCUGUGCCGGAGUUAACGCAAUAAGUAUCCCGCCUGGGGACUACGAUCGCAAGAUUGCAACUCAAAUGAAUUGACGGA